AUCCUUCUCGGUCUGUCAACAAUAAUGGCGACAACGAGAAAGCGGGGCAGACCGAUAAGUUUGACGGAUUCAGCAAGAAAAGAGAGAAAAAGACAGGCUGACAAAGACAGAAACAAAGGAAAGAUCUUUAUCGGAGACAACAUUGAAAGGUGGAAUUGAUUGAAAUCCGAAUUAAACCUAAACUACCACCAUGAAGUUGCAGGGGUCCUGCUGGACAGAUAUGAAGCUGGACAAUCAACUAUGACAGUUGCUUCAUCAACCCCUCUGGUGAAAAGUUCCCAAUUGCUUAAAAUUCCACAUGGAAUCUCAGAUAUAUCAUCUGGGGAAUCUGGGAAACAAGCAACAGAUAGUGCUUUGUCAGGGGUCGAAGAAUUGGAGAUGGGACCGUCAACAAGCAAAAAGGCAAAGGGAAAAUUUUCCUCAUCUUUCUUGGAUCCAUUACAAUUAAGCAUUGACAUAACAGAGGAAUCCGGUGAUGAGGAUAGUGAUGGAUCUGAAUACCAGCCGAGUUUCAACAUGUCUUUGGGGCCAAUGGAGAUCACAGAUAUUGAAGACUGCCCAGGCAUGGGAUGUGUAUUACCGGAAGAUAACACAGAAGAUGACGAGGAAGAAGAAGAAGAGACAGAUUUUGGAGGGGGAUCAUCAGUUCUGCAAGUGUUGAAUGCUGAUGAGAUACCAGAACAAUUGACUGAAAAUACCACAGCCCUUGUGUACCUAAAUCAGCUGAGAGUUUUGGCAAACAUGAAGGUUACAAAGUGCUGUCAAGUGAAAGGUUGUGGAGAAGACCUAGAUAUUAGUGUUCAUCAUGUUGGAUCAGCUGUUUAUUUGAAAUGGAUUUGUUGCAACUCUCAUGAAGCUGAGAAAUGGUGUUCUCAACCAGUUCUGAACAGAGGUCUUCAUGCUGGGGACUUGAUGCUUUCAGCAUCUAUUCUCUUUUCAGGGAACAACUUUAGCAAAAUUGAACUUUUUGCUAGGUUUUUAAAGUUAGCUUUUCCGGGCCAAUCCACCUUUACAAGACUACAAAAGAGAUACCUUGUGCCAGCCGUGGAUGAACUGUGGACAGCCAAGCAGACAACAAUAGUAGAAGAGCUGACACACCAAGAUCUUGUUAUCCUUGGUGAUGGCAGAAUGGACAGUCCUGGGCAUUGUGCUCAGUAUUGUACCUACACUGUUAUGGACAACAAGACGAAAAAAAUUAUCUCUGUGAAGACAUUGGAUAAAAGGGAGACAGAGAAGAAAAGUGUGAACCUUGAAAAGGCUGGGUUUUUGAGAUGUCUUCAGGAAAUCCAGGAUAAGGGAUUAACAGUGUCGGAGGUUGUCACAGAUGCACAUCUGCAGAUAGGUGCUUUGAUGAAGAAGGAUUAUCCCGAUAUGAAGCACAGCCAUGAUAUCUGGCACGCUGCUAAAAAUCUGGGGAAAAAGUUACUUGCUGCUGGACAAGACAAGAGUUGCACCGAGUUGCAGAAAUGGUCGAAAGACGUAGUAAACCAUUUUUGGUAUGUUUGCAAGACUGCAAACAACAUGGAUGAAUUCAUGGGAAUGUGGGCUGGUGUUCUUCACCAUGUGGUAGACGAACACGAGUGGUAUUUGCCCUACAGCGAGAGGGGACUGAGUACAUGUGCUCAUGAUCCACUGUCAGAUUCAGUUCGCGACAAAGUUUGGAUGAAAAAAGGAAGCCCUGCCCAUGAUGCAUUAAGGAAAAUCAUUCUUGACAAACGAUUCCUGAACAACAUUCAUUAUUAUCUCAACUUCAGAAGCACAGCUGAGCUAGAGAGCUAUCACAACCAUCUUCUUAUGUACUCGUCGAAACGAUUUGCAUACAGCCCACCUGUAUAUAGGGCCAGAUGUCUCUUAGCUGCCCUAGAUUACAACCACAAUGUAGACAGGCAACCCAUCCGGAAUAGAGAUGGAACUUUGAGACUUCAGAGAACCUUUAACAAAAAGUCUGGAAGGUGGACUGUGUAUCCCGUCAAGGAAAAGAAGACAUACCAUUACAUAGAAAUGAUGAUGGAGUGGAUUUUAGAAAAGAGGCUAGAGGACAAAGAGGGUUUUCACAAAAAACAGGAUCUUGAAGAGGGGGAUCCCCGAAGAUUGGCAGGAAAUAUUGCACUCGUGCCACCACCACCUACUGCUGAACUAGCUGCCGAAAAGAAAUCCCGCUUUGACCAAAGUUCAUAGACUUGGAGCUGAAGUUGUAUGACUUGUAUUGCUUUUGUACAGUUUAAUGAAUGAAUCAUAACAAAUAAUGAAAAUAAUGAUGAAAGUAU
rnacentral:misc_RNA from 1 species